rnacentral:rRNA from 1 species
CCGGCGAUGUCCGAAUGGGGAAACCCAGUGCAAUUCGUUGCACUAUCGUUAACUGAAUACAUAGGUUAACGAGGCGAACCGGGGGAACUGAAACAUCUAAGUACCCCGAGGAAAAGAAAUCAACCGAGAUUCCCCCAGUAGCGGCGAGCGAACGGGGAGCAGCCCAGAGUCUGAAUCAGCUUGUGUGUUAGUGGAACGGUCUGGAAAGUCCGACGGUACAGGGUGAUAGUCCCGUACACCAAAAUGCACAGGCUGUGAACUCGAAGAGUAGGGCGGGACACGUGGUAUCCUGUCUGAAUAUGGGGGGACCAUCCUCCAAGGCUAAAUACUCCUGACUGACCGAUAGUGAACCAGUACCGUGAGGGAAAGGCGAAAAGAACCCCGGCGAGGGGAGUGAAAAAGAACCUGAAACCGUGUACGUACAAGCAGUGGGAGCACCUUCGGGUGUGACUGCGUACCUUUUGUAUAAUGGGUCAGCGACUUAUAUUCUGUAGCAAGGUUAACCGUAUAGGGGAGCCGCAGGGAAACCGAGUCUUAACUGGGCGUUAAGUUGCAGGGUAUAGACCCGAAACCCGGUGAUCUAGCCAUGGGCAGGUUGAAGGUUGGGUAACACUAACUGGAGGACCGAACCGACUAAUGUUGAAAAAUUAGCGGAUGACUUGUGGCUGGGGGUGAAAGGCCAAUCAAACCGGGAGAUAGCUGGUUCUCCCCGAAAGCUAUUUAGGUAGCGCCUCGUGAAUUCAUCUUCGGGGGUAGAGCACUGUUUCGGCUAGGGGGUCAUCCCGACUUACCAACCCGAUGCAAACUACGAAUACCGAAGAAUGUUAUCACGGGAGACACACGGCGGGUGCUAACGUCCGUCGUGAAGAGGGAAACAACCCAGACCGCCAGCUAAGGUCCCAAAGUCAUGGUUAAGUGGGAAACGAUGUGGGAAGGCACAGACAGCCAGGAUGUUGGCUUAGAAGCAGCCAUCAUUUAAAGAAAGCGUAAUAGCUCACUGGUCGAGUCGGCCUGCGCGGAAGAUGUAACGGGGCUAAACCAUGCACCGAAGCUGCGGCAGCGACACUAUGUGUUGUUGGGUAGGGGAGCGUUCUGUAAGCCUGCGAAGGUGUGCUGUGAGGCAUGCUGGAGGUAUCAGAAGUGCGAAUGCUGACAUAAGUAACGAUAAAGCGGGUGAAAAGCCCGCUCGCCGGAAGACCAAGGGUUCCUGUCCAACGUUAAUCGGGGCAGGGUGAGUCGACCCCUAAGGCGAGGCCGAAAGGCGUAGUCGAUGGGAAACAGGUUAAUAUUCCUGUACUUGGUGUUACUGCGAAGGGGGGACGGAGAAGGCUAUGUUAGCCGGGCGACGGUUGUCCCGGUUUAAGCAUGUAGGCUGGUUGUCCAGGCAAAUCCGGAUAAUCAAGGCUGAGGUGUGAUGACGAGGCACUACGGUGCUGAAGUAACAAAUGCCCUGCUUCCAGGAAAAGCCUCUAAGCAUCAGGUAACAUUAAAUCGUACCCCAAACCGACACAGGUGGUCAGGUAGAGAAUACCAAGGCGCUUGAGAGAACUCGGGUGAAGGAACUAGGCAAAAUGGUGCCGUAACUUCGGGAGAAGGCACGCUGGUGUGUAGGUGAAGUGNNNNNNNNNNNNNNNNNNNNNNNNNNNNNNNNNNNNNNNNNNNNNNNNNNNNNNNNNNNNNNNNNNNNNNNNNNNNNNNNNNNNNNNNNNNNNNNNUAGAGCUGAGACCAGUCGAAGAUACCAGCUGGCUGCAACUGUUUAUUAAAAACACAGCACUGUGCAAACACGAAAGUGGACGUAUACGGUGUGACGCCUGCCCGGUGCCGGAAGGUUAAUUGAUGGGGUUAUCCGUAAGGAGAAGCUCUUGAUCGAAGCCCCGGUAAACGGCGGCCGUAACUAUAACGGUCCUAAGGUAGCGAAAUUCCUUGUCGGGUAAGUUCCGACCUGCACGAAUGGCGUAAUGAUGGCCAGGCUGUCUCCACCCGAGACUCAGUGAAAUUGAACUCGCUGUGAAGAUGCAGUGUACCCGCGGCAAGACGGAAAGACCCCGUGAACCUUUACUAUAGCUUGACACUGAACAUUGAGCCUUGAUGUGUAGGAUAGGUGGGAGGCUUUGAAGCGUGGACGCCAGUCUGCGUGGAGCCAACCUUGAAAUACCACCCUUUAAUGUUUGAUGUUCUAACGUUGGCCCCUUACCGGGGUUGCGGACAGUGUCUGGUGGGUAGUUUGACUGGGGCGGUCUCCUCCCAAAGCGUAACGGAGGAGCACGAAGGUUAGCUAAUCCUGGUCGGACAUCAGGAGGUUAGUGCAAUGGCAUAAGCUAGCUUGACUGCGAGCGUGACGGCGCGAGCAGGUGCGAAAGCAGGUCAUAGUGAUCCGGUGGUUCUGAAUGGAAGGGCCAUCGCUCAACGGAUAAAAGGUACUCCGGGGAUAACAGGCUGAUACCGCCCAAGAGUUCAUAUCGACGGCGGUGUUUGGCACCUCGAUGUCGGCUCAUCACAUCCUGGGGCUGAAGUAGGUCCCAAGGGUAUGGCUGUUCGCCAUUUAAAGUGGUACGCGAGCUGGGUUUAGAACGUCGUGAGACAGUUCGGUCCCUAUCUGCCGUGGGCGCUGGAGAAUUGAGGGGGGCUGCUCCUAGUACGAGAGGACCGGAGUGGACGCAUCACUGGUGUUCGGGUUGUCAUGCCAAUGGCACUGCCCGGUAGCUAAAUGCGGAAGAGAUAAGUGCUGAAAGCAUCUAAGCACGAAACUUGCCCCGAGAUGAGUUCUCCCUGAGACUUUAAGUCUCCUGAAGGAACGUUAAAGACGAUGACGUUGAUAGGCCGGGUGUGUAAGCGCAGCGAUGCGUUGAGCUAACCGGUACUAAUGAACCGUGAGGCUUAACCUUACAACGCCGAAG